rnacentral:rRNA from 1 species
AUUGAACGCUGGCGGCAUGCUUUACACAUGCAAGUCGAACGGCAGCGGGGUAGUGCUUGCACUACUGCCGGCGAGUGGCGAACGGGUGAGUAAUAUAUCGGAACGUACCGAGUAAUGGGGGAUAACCAAUCGAAAGAUUGGCUAAUACCGCAUACGUCCUGAGGGAGAAAGCGGGGGAUCGCAAGACCUCGCGUUAUUCGAGCGGCCGAUAACUGAUUAGCUAGUUGGUGGGGUAAAGGCCUACCAAGGCGACGAUCAGUAGCGGGUCUGAGGGGACGAUCCGCCACACUGGGACUGAGACACGGCCCAGACUCCUACGGGAGGCAGCAGUGGGGAAUUUUGGACAAUGGGGGCAACCCUGAUCCAGCCAUGCCGCGUGUAUGAAGAAGGCCUUCGGGUUGUAAAGUACUUUUGUUAGGGAAGAAAAGGGAAGUGCUAAUACCACUUUUUGCUGACGGUACCUAAAGAAUAAGCACCGGCUAACUACGUG